CAGCCGCCGCGGGAAUACGGAGGGUGCAAGCGUUAAUCGGAAUUACUGGGCGUAAAGCGCACGCAGGCGGUCUGUCAGGUCAGAUGUGAAAUCCCCGGGCUUAACCUGGGAACUGCAUUUGAAACUGGCAGGCUAGAGUCUUGUAGAGGGGGUAGAAUUCCAGGUGUAGCGGUGAAAUGCGUAGAGAUCUGGAAGAACACCAGUGGCGAAGGCGGCUCACUGGACGCGUAUUGACGCUGAGGUACGAAAGCGUGGGGAGCAAACAGGAUUAGAUACCCGAGUAGUCCCUGUCUCUAUACAC
rnacentral:rRNA from 1 species